rnacentral:rRNA from 1 species
UCGAGCGAAUCCCUUCGGGGAUUAGCGGCGAACGGGUGAGUAAUACAUAUCUAACAUACUCCGAAGAAGGGGAUAGCCGUUUGAAAAAGCGAUUAAUACCCUAUAAUUAGCCCCCCGCAAAAGCGGGGGGCUUGAAAGGAGCAAUCCGCUUUGGAAUUGGGAUAUGGUCUAUUAGCUAGUUGGCGGGAUAAAAGCCCCCCAAGGCGAUGAUAGAUAGCUGGAUUGAGAAGUUGAACAGCCACAAUGGGAUUGAGAUACGGCCCAUAUUCCUACGGGAAGCAGCAGUAGGGGAUCUUCCACAAUGGGCGAAAGCCUGAUGGAGCAAUACCAUGUGAACGACGAAGGUCUUAUUGAUUGUAAAGUUCUUUUAAGAGGGAUAAAACAAGAUGGUACCUCUUGAAUAAGUGACAGCAAACUAUGUGCCAGCAGCUGCGGUAAUACAUAGGUCGCGAGCGUUAUUCGGAUUUAUUGGGCGUAAAGAGAGCGCAGGCGGAUGGAUAAGUUCUGUGUGAAAGGUAGCCGCUCAACGGUUACUUGCGCCGAAUACUGUCUGUCUAGAAUACGGUAGGGAGGUUCGGAAUUGAAUGUGGAGCGGUGGAAUGUGUAGAUAUAUUCAAGAACACCAGAGGCGAAGGCGGAACCUUAGGCCGAUAUUGACGCUUAGGCUCGAAAGUGUGGGGAGCAAAUGGGAUUAGAUACCCCAGUAGUCCACACCGUAAACGAUGGAUAUUUGAUGUUGGGAGUUGAGAGUCUCAGCGUUGUAGCUUACGUGUUAAAUAUCCCGCCUGGGUAGUACAUAUGCAAAUAUGAAACUCAAAGGAAUUGACGGGGACCUGAACAAGUGGUGGAACAUGUUGCUUAAUUCGAUAAUACACGAAAAACCUUACCAAGAUUUGACAUCCCCCGCAAAGGUAUAGAAAUAUACUCGGAGGUUAUCGGGGUGACAGGUGGUGCAUGGUUGUCGUCAGCUCGUGUCUUGAGAUGUUUGGUUAAGUCCCGCAACGAGCGCAACCCUACUCUCUAGUUAGUAUGUUUAGAGAGACUGAACAGAAAUGUAUAGGAAGGAUAGGAUCACGUCAAAUCAUCAUGCCCCUUAUGUCUUGGGCUGCAAACGUGUUACAAUGGCUAGUACAGCGUGCUCGCAAACCAGCAAUGGUAAGCUAAUCACUAAAAGCUAGCCCCAGUUCGGAUUAAAGGCUGCAAUUCGCCUUUAUGAAGUUGGAAUCACUAGUAAUCCCGUGUCAG